AGUGAACGCUGGCGGUAGGCCUAACACAUGCAAGUCGAGCGGCAGCACAGUAAGAGCUUGCUCUUACGGGUGGCGAGUGGCGGACGGGUGAGGAAUACAUCGGAAUCUACUUUUUCGUGGGGGAUAACGUAGGGAAACUUACGCUAAUACCGCAUACGACCUACGGGUGAAAGCAGGGGAUCUUCGGACCUUGCGCGAUUGAAUGAGCCGAUGUCGGAUUAGCUAGUUGGCGGGGUAAAGGCCCACCAAGGCGACGAUCCGUAGCUGGUCUGAGAGGAUGAUCAGCAACACUGGAAAUGAGACAAGGUCCAGACUACUACGGGAGGCAGCAGUGGGGAAUAUUGGACAAUGGGCGCAAGCCUGAUCCAGCCAUACCGCGUGGGUGAAGAAGGCCUUCGGGUUGUAAAGCCCUUUUGUUGGGAAAGAAAAGCAGCAGGUUAAUACCCCGCUGUUCUGACGGUACCCAAAGAAUAAGCACCGGCUAACUUCGUG
rnacentral:rRNA from 1 species